UUGGCGAUGGUUGUCGUCAGCUCGUGUCGUGAGAUGUUGGGUUAAGUCCCGCAACGAGCGCAACCCCUGUGGUUAGUUGCCAUCAUUCAGUUGGGCACUCUAAGCAGACUGCCGUGGAUAACACGGAGGAAGGUGGGGACGACGUCAAAUCAUCAUGCCCCUUAUGACCUGGGCUACACACGUGCUACAAUGGUCUGAACAGAGGGCUGCGAAACCGCGAGGUGAAGCUAAUCCCUUAAAACAGAUCUCAGUUCGGAUUGCAGGCUGCAACUCGCCUGCAUGAAGUUGGAGUUGCUAGUAAUCGCAGAUCAGAAUGCUGCGGUGAAUGCGUUCCCGGGUCUU
rnacentral:rRNA from 1 species